rnacentral:rRNA from 1 species
AUUGAACGCUGGCGGCAGGCCUAACACAUGCAAGUCGAACGAGUGGCGGACGGGUGAGAAAUGUCUGGGAAAAUGCCUGAUGGAGGGGGAUAACGAAUGGAAAAGGUAGCUAAAACCGCAUACCAUAGGGGGUGACCAGAGGGGAUUAGCGAGGUGGUGGGGUAAAGGCGCACCUAGGCGACGAUCCCUAGCUGGUCUGAGAGGAUGACCAGCCACACUGGAACUGAGACACGUUCCAGACCCCUACGGGAGGCAGCAGUGGGGAAUAUUGCGCAAUUGGCGCAAUCCUGAUGCAGCCAUGCCGCUUGUAUGAAGAAGGCCUUCGGGUUGUAAAGUACUUUCAGCGAGUAGGCGUUACCCGCCGAAGAAGCACCGGCUAACUCCGUGCCAGCCGCCGCGGUAAUUC